GACGAACGCUGGCGGCGUGCUUAACACAUGCAAGUCGUACGGUAAGGCCCUUUCGGGGGUACACGAGUGGCGAACGGGUGAGUAACGCGUGAGUAACCUGCCCACAACUUUGGGAUAACGCUAGGAAACUGGUGCUAAUACUGGAUAUGUGCUCCUGCUGCAUGGUGGGGGUUGGAAAGCUCCGGCGGUUGUGGAUGGACUCGCGGCCUAUCAGCUUGUUGGUGGGGUAGUGGCCUACCAAGGCGGCGACGGGUAGCCGGCCUGAGAGGGUGACCGGCCACAUUGGGACUGAGAUACGGCCCAGACUCCUACGGGAGGCAGCAGUGGGGAAUAUUGCACAAGGGGCGCAAGCCUGAUGCAGCAACGCCGCGUGCGGGAUGACGGCCUUCGGGUUGUAAACCGCUUUCAGCAGGGACGAAGCUUUUUGUGACGGUACCUGCAGAAGAAGCACCGGCUAACUACGUG
rnacentral:rRNA from 1 species